rnacentral:rRNA from 1 species
AGGGUUUGAUCCUGGCUCAGAACGAACGCUGGCGGCGUGGCUAAGACAUGCAAGUCGAACGGACCAAUGUAUUUAUAUAUUGGUUAGUGGCGAAAGGGUUAGUAACAGGUGGGUAACGUACCCUGUGCUUCGGGAUAGCGUCAGUUGCCUUCGGGCAACUUUCCGAAAGGGGCAUUAAUACCGAAUAAUAUCAAGAGUCGAUAGGCUUUUGAUCAAAGAUUUAUCUGCACGGGAGCGGCCUGCCUCCUAUCAGCUUGUUGGUGAGGUAAUGGCUCACCAAGGCAAUGACGGGUAGCGGGACUGAGAGGUUGGCCCGCAACAUCGGGACUGAGACACUGCCCGGACCUCCACGGAGGGCUGCAGUAACGAAUAUUGUGCAAUGGGCGAAAGCCUGACACAGCGACGCCGCGUGUAGGAGGAAGUCCCUCGGGAUGUAAACUACUGUCAGGGGGAAGAAAGUGCAUUUCGGUGCAUUGAUCCACCCCAGAGGAAGUCACGGCUAACUUCGUGCCAGCAGCCGCGGUAAGACGAAGGUGGCUAGCGUUGUUCGGUAUUACUGGGCUUAAAGCGUGUGUAGGCGGAAAAGUAAGCGUCUUGUGAAAGCCCCCGGCUUAACCGGGGAAUUGCGUGACGAACUACUUUUCUUGAGGCAAGCAGGGGUGCAUGGAACUCUUGGUGGAGCGGUGGAAUGCGUAGAUAUCAAGAGGAACGCCAGUGGAGAAAUCGGUGCACUGGGCUUGUCCUGACGCUGAGACACGAAAGCGUGGGUAGCGAACGGGAUUAGAUACCCCGGUGUCCACGCUGUAAACGAUGCCUACUAGGUUGUGGGGGUUCUGACACUCGCACAGCCGAAGCAAAAGUGUUAAGUAGGCCGCCUGGGGAGUACGGUCGCAAGGCUAAAACUCAAAGGAAUUGACGGGGGCUCACACAAGCGGUGGAGCAUGUGGAUUAAUUCGAUCAACGCGCAGAACCUUACCUGGGUUUGACAUGCUUGGAUGCCUUUCCUGAAAGGGAGUAGGCUGCCCUUCGGGGUGAAACUUGCACAGGUGCUGCAUGGCUGUCGUCAGCUCGUGUCGUGAGAUGUCGGGUUAAGUCCUUUAACGAGCGAAACCCUUACCAUUAGUUGCCAGCGGGUCAUGCCGGGGACUCUAAUGGGACUGCCGGUGUUAAACCGGAGGAAGGCGGGGACGACGUCAAGUCAUCAUGGCCUUUAUGCCCAGGGCCUCACACGUGCUACAAUGGCGGGGACAAAGCGACGCAAGAUCGCAAGAUGGAGCAAAUCGCAAAAACCUCGCCCCAGUUCGGAUUGCAGGCUGGCAACUCGCCUGCAUGAAGCCGGAAUCGCUAGUAAUCGCGUAUCAGCUACGACGCGGUGAAUGUGUUCCUGAGCCUUGUACACACCGC